AACGAACGCUGGCGGCAGGCCUCAAACAUGCAAGUCUAGGGGGUGUAGCAAUACAUCACCGGCGGACGGGUGCGUAACGCGUGGGAAUAUACCUAUUGGUUCGGAACAACUGCGGGAAACUGCAGCUAAUACCGAAUGUGCCCUAACGGGGAAAGAUUUAUCGCCAAUGGAUUAGCACGCGUAGGAUUAGCUAGUUGGUGGGGUAAUGGCUCACCAAGGCUCCGAUCCUUAGCUGUUCUGGGAGGAAGAUCAGCCACACUGGGACUGAGACACGGCCCAGACUCCUACGGGAGGCAGCAGUUGGGAAUCUUGGACAAUGGGGGAAACCCUGAUCCAGCCAUGCCGCGUGAGUGAUGAAGGCCUUCGGGUUGUAAAACUCUUUCGACGGGGACGAUAAUGACGUUACCCGUAGAAGAAGCUCCGGCUAACUUCGUGCCAGCCGCCGCAGUAAAAC
rnacentral:rRNA from 1 species